AGGAAAGAAACUAACAAGGAUUCCCUCAGUAACGGCGAGUGAAGCGGGAAGAGCCCAGCACUGAAUCCCCCGGCUGUGUGGUCGGCGGGAACUGUGGUGUUUGGGAGUGGUCUCUGGGGCGGCUGGUGGAUUGUCCGCGUCCUCCUGAUUGGGGCUUGACCCAUAGCGGGUGUAAGGCCUCUACAGCAUCCGCCGCCGUCCCUCUGGCGCUCCCUGGAGUCGGGUUGUUUGAGAAUGCAGCCCAAAGUGGGUGGUAAACUCCAUCUAAGGCUAAAUACUGGCACGAGUCCGAUAGCGAACAAGUACGGUGACGGAAAGUUGAAAAGCACUUUGAAGAGAGAGUUGGACAGUACGUGAAACCGUUUACAGGUAAACGGAUGGGACCGCAAUGUCGACGGCGUUGGGAUUCAGGUCACUGAGUCGGGUCGGUCAGUCUUCUCGGCUAGGGGGUAGAACCCCAGCCUCGGCUGUGCUGUGCUCGCACGACGUGUCUGCACUUCCUCGUCGGAGAGCGCCACGACCGCUUGUCUAGCAGCCAAAAGCUCCCCGUUCAAGGUAGCUCCUUCCCUUUGCGGGGUUAGGGGAACUUAUAGGUUCUGGGUGUCGGCUGGCCUGUUGGAUGAGCGAGGAACCCGGGCCGUGAGUACCCGACGUACGCACCGCUGGCUUGGUGUCGACUGGUGAGGACUGCUUGCAGUGCUUGCCGACCGCACUGGCUGGGUCAGGGAGUACGCCUUUAUCGGUGCUCAUCGAAGGGUCAGUGGUGAUUGAUCGGCACCCCAUCCGACCCGUCUUGAAACACGGACCAAGGAGUCUAACAUGUGCGCAAGUCAAAGGGUCUUACGAAACCCCAGGGCGCAGUGAAAGUGACGGGAGUUCACGGCUUCGGUCGGGUUCUCCUUUGAGGUGUGAUCCCGGUCCUCAGUCGGCUGGGCGCAACACCGGCCCGUCUCAACGUCCCUUUGCUUGGCGGGACGAGGCGGAGCUAGAGCGUACACGUUGGUACCCGAAAGAUGGUGAACUAUGCCUGAGCAGGUUGAAGCCAGAGGAAACUCUGGUGGAGGACCGUAGCGAUUCUGACGUGCAAAUCGAUCGUCGAACUUGGGUAUAGGGGCGAAAGAC
rnacentral:rRNA from 1 species